GAGCUGUGAUGAAUAUAUGCGCAUCAAGCGGUGAUUAGGGUCGCCGCACUUGUCUGAUUUCAAGACCGAUACAACAGCGCAUCUGAGCUC